UACAGAGGUCCCGAGCGUUGUUCGGAUUCAUUGGGCGUAAAGGGUGCGUAGGCGGCGGGGUAAGUUUGAUGUGAAAUCCCGGGGCUCAACCCUGGAAUUGCAUUGAAUACUACCUUGCUAGAGUACCGGAGAGGAAACUGGAAUUUACGGUGUAGCAGUGAAAUGCGUAGAGAUCGUAAGGAAGACCAGUGGCGAAGGCGAGUUUCUGGACGGUAACUGACGCUGAGGCACGAAGGCCAGGGGAGCAAACGGG
rnacentral:rRNA from 2 species